GGGAUAACAGUUGGAAACGGCUGCUAAUACCGCAUAAGCGCACAGCAUCGCAUGAUGCAGUGUGAAAAACUCCGGUGGUAUAAGAUGGACCCGCGUUGGAUUAGCUAGUUGGUGAGGUAACGGCCCACCAAGGCGACGAUCCAUAGCCGACCUGAGAGGGUGACCGGCCACAUUGGGACUGAGACACGGCCCAAACUCCUACGGGAGGCAGCAGUGGGGAAUAUUGCACAAUGGGCGAAAGCCUGAUGCAGCGACGCCGCGUGAGCGAAGAAGUAUUUCGGUAUGUAAAGCUCUAUCAGCAGGGAAGAUAAUGACGGUACCUGACUAAGAAGCACCGGCUAAAUACGUGCCAGCAGCCGCGGUAAUACGUAUGGUGCAAGCGUUAUCCGGAUUUACUGGGUGUAAAGGGAGCGCAGGCGGUGCGGCAAGUCUGAUGUGAAAGCCCGGGGCUCAACCCCGGUACUGCAUUGGAAACUGUCGUACUAGAGUGUCGGAGGGGUAAGCGGAAUUCCUAGUGUAGCGGUGAAAUGCGUAGAUAUUAGGAGGAACACCAGUGGCGAAGGCGGCUUACUGGACGAUAACUGACGCUGAGGCUCGAAAGCGUGGGGAGCAAACAGGAUUAGAUACCCUGGUAGUCCACGCCGUAAACGACGAAAACGGGGUGUUGGGAAGCAUUGCUUCUCGGUGCCGUCG
rnacentral:rRNA from 1 species